UACGUAGGGUGCAAGCGCUGUCCGGAAUUAUUGGGCGUAAAGGGCUCGUAGGCGGUUUGUUGCGUUGGCUGUGAAAUCCCGAGGCUCAGCCUCGGGUCUGCAGUCGAUACGAGCAAACUAGAGUGUUGCAGGGGAGACUGGAAUUCCUGGUGUAGCGGUGAAAUGCGCAGAUAUCAGGAGGAACACCGGUGGCGAAGGCGGGUCUCUGGGCAACAACUGACGCUGAGGAGCGAAAGCGUGGGGAGCGAACAGG
rnacentral:rRNA from 1 species